rnacentral:tRNA from 1 species
CCGCCCAUAGCUCAGCUGGUAGAGCAGUCGCCUCUUAAGCGGACGGUCGUAGGUUCGAGCCCUACUGGGCGGA